rnacentral:rRNA from 1 species
GACGAACGCUGGCGGCGUGCCUAACACAUGCAAGUCGAGCGGGAACCUCAGGGGGGGUAACCCUCCUGAGGGGAGAGUGGCGAACGGGUGAGUAACACGUGGGCAACCUGCCCCGGACACCGGGAUAACCCAGGGAACCUGAGCUAAUACCGGAUACUCCGGCGAGAUCGCAUGGUCGCGCCGGGAAAGCUCCGACGGUCCGGGAUGGGCCCGCGGCCUAUCAGCUUGUUGGUGGGGUAACGGCCCACCAAGGCGACGACGGGGAGCUGGUCUGGGAGGACGGCCAGCCACACUGGGAGUGAGACACGGCCCUGACUCCUACGGGAGGCAGCAGUGGGGGAUCUUGCGCUAAUGCGCGAAAGCGUGACGCAGCGACGCCGCGUGGGGGAUGAAGGCCCUCGGGUUGUAAACCCCUUUCGGCAGGGACGAAGCGAAAGUGACGGUACCUGCAGAAGAAGUCCCGGCUAACUACGUGCCAGCCGCCGCCGUAAAAC